rnacentral:rRNA from 1 species
AUGAACAAUCAGGAGGGGGUUAAUGCUUUGGGAGUUGAGAGAGUUGAUGGGAGGGACAACCGAAGAAGCAUAUCGAGAAGAAAUUCACAUCUACUUGUCCAAGAUGAUGUAUGUGCUCAUCUUGAUGCCUUGGUAGAUGAUCAUCAUCAUGAAUCCACUGUGAAGGUCCUCGAUUCUUAUAUGCAUUCAGUUUCUGAACCACCUCAACCUUCUUGCUCCUGCUGCUUCGGCCAGCAAGACUCCCUCCACGGUCGACCCUGA